rnacentral:rRNA from 1 species
AUUGAACGCUGGCGGCAGGCCUAACACAUGCAAGUCGAGCGGUAGAGAGAAGCUUGCUUCUCUUGAGAGCGGCGGACGGGUGAGUAAUGCCUAGGAAUCUGCCUGAUAGUGGGGGAUAACGUCCGGAAACGGACGCUAAUACCGCAUACGUCCUACGGGAGAAAGUGGGGGCUCUUCGGACCUCACGCUAUCAGAUGAGCCUAGGUCGGAUUAGCUAGUUGGUGGGGUAAAGGCUCACCAAGGCGACGAUCCGUAACUGGUCUGAGAGGAUGAUCAGUCACACUGGAACUGAGACACGGUCCAGGCUCCGACGGGAGGCAGCAGUGGGGAAUAUUGGACAAUGGGCGAAAGCCUGAUCCAGCCAUGCCGCGUGUGUGAAGAAGGUCUUCGGAUUGUAAAGCACUUUAAGUUGGGAGGAAGGGUCGUUACCUAAUACGUGGCGAUUUUGACGUUACCGACAGAAUAAGCACCGGCUAACUCUGUGCCAGCCGCCGCUGUAAAAC